CCUACGGGUUGCAGCAGUGAGGAAUAUUGGUCAAUGGGCGCGAGCCUGAACCAGCCAAGUCGCGUGAGGGAAGACGGUCCUAUGGAUUGUAAACCUCUUUUGUCGGGGAGCAAAAGACGCCACGUGUGGCGUUCCGAGAGUACCCGAAGAAAAAGCAUCGGCUAACUCCGUGCCAGCAGCCGCGGUAAUACGGAGGAUGCGAGCGUUAUCCGGAUUUAUUGGGUUUAAAGGGUGCGCAGGCGGAGGCACAAGUCAGCGGUAAAAUCGCGGGGCUCAACCCCGCUCCGCCGUUGAAACUGUGUCCCUUGAGUGCGCGAAGGGUAGGCGGAAUGCGUGGUGUAGCGGUGAAAUGCAUAGAUAUCACGCAGAACUCCGAUCGCGAAGGCAGCCUACCGGCGCGCAACUGACGCUCAUGCACGAAAGCGUGGGUAUCGAACAGGAUUAGAUACCCGGGUAGUC
rnacentral:rRNA from 1 species